rnacentral:lncRNA from 10 species
ACCAGUCCUGAUGUGAGGAGGUUAAUUGUGAUUUUAACAAUGUUCUCCCACCAGGCUGAAAGUGUAUAUAACCAAGAUGGGCAAGAGCCUUUAAAUGCAACAAACUGCUGCUCACCAAUUGUCAUCCACAAAUCUGAAAAAUAUCCAUCUAGGAAAUACAAUUCUAGAUUUCAAGUACAUCUCUAACAGGUAGGUACUAGCUCAUCACUACGUCUGUUUCUUCUUGCACUUGCACUGUCAAAAUGUACAAGUCCAGAUUUACAUCUCUUUUAAGUUCUAGCUUAUUACUUUUGAUUCCUCUUUUGCAUCAUCAAAAUACAGUUUUUUAAACUGACAACUUGAUUUUGUUGAGAGGAAGGUCAUCUUCUUUGCUCCAUAAUUGUGAAACAUUUUCAUAUACAGACUUAUAAGGACAAUAUAUUUAUUAUUACAAAGAUUAGAAUGAUCAAUUCAACAGGUUUUAAAAAAUUUCUUCAUCAUCUCUUUCCAAUUUCCUUAUAUACACAACUGUGUAUUUGACCACUUGUGGACCAUAUAAGGAAACUUUGGUGCACAAAUAAUAAAAGAUGAAAGACUAUUAUUACAAGUCCUUUUAGCAAAAUGAGAUGGUCCAGGUUCUUAUCAUAGACGUUACAUAACUAGGCCCUUUCUGUUGAAUGAUUACAUGAAUAAUAAUCUCAUAUAUAUAUAUAUCCCUAGAAAUAUAUUGUUCAGCAGAGCACAGUGGCUCCUGGCUCAUUUGGGAAGCUGAAACAGGUAGAUCUCUUGAGCCCAGGAGUUCAAGACUAGCCUAGCAACAUGGCAAAACCCUGUCUCUACAAAGCAAUACAAAAAUAAGCUGAGCGUGGUGGCACACGCCUGUAGUCCCAGCUACUCAGGAGGCUGAGGUGGGAGGAUCACUUAAGCCCAGGAGGUCAAGACUGCACUGAGCCAUGAUCUUGCCACUGCAUUCCAGCCUGGGUGACAGAGCUAGACCUUGUC